CCUACGGGUGGCUGCAGUGGGGAAUAUUGGACAAUGGGGGGAACCCUGAUCCAGCCAUGCCGCGUGUGUGAAGAAGGCCCUCGGGUUGUAAAGCACUUUCAGGGAGGAAGAACGCCUGGUGGUUAAUACCCAUCAGGAAAGACAUCACUCACAGAAGAAGCACCGGCUAACUCCGUGCCAGCAGCCGCGGUAAUACGGAGGGUGCGAGCGUUAAUCGGAAUUACUGGGCGUAAAGCGCGCGUAGGUGGCUUGAUAAGCCGGUUGUGAAAGCCCCGGGCUCAACCUGGGAACGGCAUCCGGAACUGGCAAGCUAGAGUGCAGGAGAGGAAGGUAGAAUUCCCGGUGUAGCGGUGAAAUGCGUAGAGGUCGGGAGGAAUACCAGUGGCGAAGGCGGCCUUCUGGACUGACACUGACACUGAGGUGCGAAAGCGUGGGUAGCAAACAGGAUUAGAUACCCUUGUAGUC
rnacentral:rRNA from 1 species